rnacentral:rRNA from 1 species
UACAUGUGGGGCAAGCGUUGUUCGGAAUUACUGGGUGUAAAGGGUGCGCAGGCGGACUUGUUAGUCAGAGGUGAAAUCUCACGGCUCAACCGUGAAACUGCCUUUGAUACUGCAGGUCUUGAAUUGGGGAGAGAGUUGUGGAAUUCCGAGUGUAGCAGUGAAAUGUGUAGAUAUUCGGAAGAACACCAGUGGCGAAGGCAGCAACUUGGCCCUAUAUUGACGCUCAGGCACGAAAGCAUGGGGAUCAAACAGG